rnacentral:rRNA from 1 species
CCUACGGGAGGCUGCAGUGAGGAAUAUUGGUCAAUGGACGAGAGUCUGAACCAGCCAAGUAGCGUGAAGGAUGACUGCCCUAUGGGUUGUAAACUUCUUUUAUAAAGGAAUAAAACGCGGCACGUGUGCCUUUUUGCAUGUACUUUAUGAAUAAGGAUCGGCUAACUCCGUGCCAGCAGCCGCGGUAAUACGGAGGAUCCGAGCGUUAUCCGGAUUUAUUGGGUUUAAAGGGUGCGUAGAUGGGUUGUUAAGUCAGUUGUGAAAGUUUGCGGCUCAACCGUAAAAUUGCAAUUGAUACUGGCAGUCUUGAGUACAGUUGAGGUAGGCGGAAUGCGUGGUGUAGCGGUGAAAUGCUUAGAUAUCACGAAGAACCCCGAUUGCAAAGGCAGCUUACUAAACUGUGACUGACAUUGAUGCUCGAAAGUGUGGGUAGCAAACAGGAUUAGAUACCCGAGUAGUC